UACAGAGGUCUCGAGCGUUAGGCGGAAUCACUGGGCUUAAAGCGUGUGUAGGUGGAUGCCUAAGUACCUUGUGAAAUCCCACGGCUUAACCGUGGAACUGCUUGGUAUACUGGGUGUCUUGAGUCACUCAGGGGCGAGCGGAACAAUGGUGGAGCGGUGAAAUGCGUAGAUAUCAAUUUGGAACGCCAAUGGGUGAAAACAGCUCGCUGGGGGUGCACUGACA
rnacentral:rRNA from 1 species